rnacentral:lncRNA from 1 species
GCCAGCCAAAGAACAGAGACGAUACCUGGAUGUUGGUAAAACCGGAUGACAAGACUCCGGUAGGGCAUUUGUUAGGAAAACAUGCCCAGCCUUCCCCAAGGAAACCAAGGCUACCUGGAGGAGCAUCUUUCCGGGCAGGCUGAGCAGGCACAGUUGCUGCCCCUGAUCAGAGCAGAGAAAGAUUCCAAUUCCAGUAUUCCCCAAGACCCAGAAAAUAAAGGGGUCUCUCAGGCUGUGACUGGUGUCAAGCUCCCAGACUCGCCCAACGCGCCCACUCUACUUCGCCACCUUUCUAGCCUGCUCUCCAGCCACAGGAGAUUGUUCUUGUGUCUUCUGCGGCGACCCCCUCCCGCGGCUCGCCUGCGACCCUGGGACUUUCCUUCUCAGCCAAGCUCCUGGCCUACGG